UUGUAAACCUGAUUGAAAUGGAAACCCCACAGCCCGAUUUUCAUCGGGCGAGGAUUUGAAAUGGAAAGCAGGACUAACC
rnacentral:sRNA from 1 species